rnacentral:rRNA from 1 species
AUUGAACGCUGGCGGCAGGCUUAACACAUGCAAGUCGAGCGGAGAGAGGUAGCUUGCUACUGAUCUUAGCGGCGGACGGGUGAGUAAUGCUUAGGAAUCUGCCUAUUAGUGGGGGACAACAUUUCGAAAGGAAUGCUAAUACCGCAUACGUCCUACGGGAGAAAGCAGGGGAUCUUCGGACCUCUCGCUAAUAGAUGAGCCUAAGUCGGAUUAGCUAGUUGGUGGGGUAAAGGCCUACCAAGGCGACGAUCUGUAGCGGGUCUGAGAGGAUGAUCCGCCACACUGGGACUGAGGCACGGCCCAGACUCCUACGGGAGGCAGCAGUGGGGAAUAUUGGACAAUGGGCGGAAGCCUGAUCCAGCCAUGCCGCGUGUGUGAAGAAGGCCUUAUGGUUGUAAAGCACUUUAAGCGAGGAGGAGGCUACUUUAGUUAAUACCUAGAGAUAGUGGACGUUACUCGCAGAAUAAGCACCGGCUAACUCCGUGCCAGCCGCCGCCGUAACAC